rnacentral:rRNA from 1 species
CGUAGGUGGCGAGCGUUGUCCGGAAUGACUGGGCGUAAAGGGCGUGUAGGCGGUCCUGUAAGUCUGGGGUGAAAACCGGCGGCUCAACCGCCGGCCUGCCCUGGAAACUGCGGGGCUAGAGUGGGCUAGAGGGCAGCGGAAUUCCCGGUGUAGCGGUGAAAUGCGUAGAAAUCAGGAGGAACACCAGUGGCGAAGGCGGCUGCCUGGGGCCUAACUGACGCUGAGGCGCGAAAGCUGGGGGAGCAAACAGGAUU